UUUUUUUUUUUUUUUUUUUUUUUUUUGUCUUUUUAGGGCUGCACCUGCGGCAUAUGGACGUUCCCAGACCGGGGGUCAAAUCGGAGCUGCCACUACCAGCUUACACCACAGCCACAGCCAUGCCAGAUCUGAGCUGUGUCUGCGAACUACACCACAGCUCAUGGCAACGCUGGAUCCUUAGCCCAUUAAGUUAGGCCAGGGAUCGAACCCUUGUUCUUAUGGAUACUAGUCAGUUUCAUCACUGCUGAGCCAUGAUGGGAACUCCAGACACACUGAAUUUUUAGGAUGAAAUAAACCUUUUGCAUGCUCAUUGGAAUGAUAGCUACAGAGUAACUAUCUUCAGCUACUAGUUACUUCAGUAACUAUCUUCAGGGAGGAGAUGGCCAUGGUUGUGGUCCUCCAGGUAUCUUAGGAUGAAUGAUUAACCAGGUCCUAAAGGAUGUGGAUGAGUCCGCUCCACAGUUGUGUUUUGAGCACCACAGUGUCCUAGGGACUCCCCACACAGUCCAGUCACAGAGAGCACUUGGGGUCUCAGCAAAGGCUGAGAGCAGGGUGUAUCCGAGGGGCCCAGCCCUCCACAAGCAGAAGCAUGAACUGGGAGGGGCAGCCUUGUUUCUGAGGGAGCUGGGAGCAUCGACUCCCACCCGGGCCAACCUCCAUGAUUAGUAUGCGUGGAGGGGAGAGUAAUUAGAUGCUGCUCUUGGAGACGAGAUGCUCCCGUUCUUGAUGGUACCUGAUUAUCUAUUUCCUUGGGAGGAUGAAAGAAGGGUCCUUAGGAUUUCUGUCUGAGCCUGAGCUUGGCUCUCCUCUUCCCUUUAUGAGAGGCGACACAGAGGCCACUCUGCUGACCAGGAAGGUGCUUGGCUUCAUAUUAAUGGCUUUCUUUUAAAAGAACAAUGAGCCACCUUAACCCAUAGCCCAGCAGUUCCACACCCCGCCCAAGCCCUCAUGCAUAUUCAUCCUGCUUCAAAGAGCACAGCAUGGAAUAUGCAAAUUGGCCAGGCAGGCGCUGGUUGGCAUUUUGAUAAUAGCUUUGUCUGAAAAACCCCAGAGACAUGCACACAUACAUUUAGUUCCCUCUCUCUCUCCCUCCCUCUCUUUCUUUCCUUCCUCUAUCCUCUGUCUGCCUUCAUUCUCUCUUCCACUCCCCACCUGCCCAAGAACAGGAAAAUGAAUCACACAACCAGAGAAGCCAGUGUGUGAAAGGCCAGGUGUCUGCAUUCAAUCCCAGUGUAUUUCUACUUCUCUCUCCUCUCCUCCUUGAACAGAAUCUUUUUGUUUUUCCCAUCAAAGGUCCAGAUCUGACAAUGCCCCAGGCCUGCCCUCUGCUCUCAGUGGCCUCCCCGCUUUGUCUGGGGCCCAUUCUGGGCUCUAUCUCCCAGAGAUAAGCUUCCUUUUCCUUCUUCCUUCGUUCAACCUGGUUUUACUCUCAGUGGUCAAGACCAAAAAAAAUCCAAGAACCCGGCCUUGCCCUCUGAACAAGAGGAAAAGAGUCACCUACAGGGCCGAGAGUGCGGGAGGCUUAGAUGUCAGCUGUCAUCUCUGACAGAUCUCAGGACUCAGCCGUUCCUGACCUCACGCAUCCAUCCCCACGACACUUCUGAGCAAUCAUCAGCAAGGGCACAAUGGACCUUGCUGGUGCCCAUUUCUUUGUCCCAGUCCGUUGACAGUUCACAGUGUCUUCUCCGCCAGGACUAGCUUCCCCAGGCCCCUCCUGCAGCCCCAGCCCCCCUCCUAGAAAGGUAUGGAGAGCAAGGUCUUAAGGACCUAGGUCCUGCCACCUCCUGCUCCCCCAAGUGUAAAUGGUUCCAGUGGGAGCAGGUGGGCUCCUGUGGGAGAAACAGGCUAAAGCAUGGGUCCCAUAUCUUUGAAACUGUUUCAUCUGGGAGACUUAGAGGAGGAAAACCCUCAAGGAUUUCAGGGAAGAUGGGAGCUUCUGCCUUUGACCCUGAAGGCCAGGCCUGGUCAAGCCAAAGCUCAGAAGGCAAAGUACCUCAUAGGCAGAGCAUGGGUUUGGGGCUUAGGUUAAAAAAAUCCCAGCUCUACUACAUAUUUACUAAAUAAUUUUGAGAAAAGUUAAUUUCUCUGAGCCUGUCUCUUUAUUUUAGAAAUAGGAAUAUUAACAUUAAUAAUAAUGCCAGUAACUCAGUUGUUUUGAAUCAUUUACAGUAUCUUAUAUAUGCUAAAUGCUCAAUAAAUUCUGAUUUGUUUAUUUGGCUGAAAUCAUGCAUAUGGAAGUUCUUAGUCCAGGGAUCGAACCCCAGACACAGGAGUGAACCGAGCCACUGCCUUGGCAACUCUGGACCCUUAACCUGCUGUGCCACAAGGGAAUUCCACUUAUGACUUAUUUUUGCUGGUAAACGUCAAGGAAUGUAGAGAAAGGGCCAGGCCCACUGACUUCUUGAGCCUCAUUAUUUUUUCAAUCCAAUAGAUGCAGAAGACCUGAAAGCCAAACCAAAACAAGAUAGGAUGUGGGAGUUCCCGUCAUGGCGCAGUGGUUAACGAAUCCGACUAGGAACCAUGAGGUUUCGGGUUCGAUCCCUGCCUUUGCUCAGUGGGUUAAGGAUCAAGUGUUGCCGUGAGCUGUGAUGUAGGUCGCAGACGCGGCUUGGAUCCCGCGUUGCUGUGGCUCUGGCAUAGGCUGGCGGCUACAGCUCUGAUUAGACCCCUAGCCUGGGAACCUCCAUAUGCCGUGGGAGCAGCCCAAGAAAUGACAAAACAAACAAACAAACAAACAAACAAAGAUAGGAUGUGGCCUGUUCCCCUAGAUUCAGCCUCACCCCACCCUUCCUCCUCUCUAAAUCCUGCUUAGUGUUGGCCCAUCUGAUUCUAGAACCAGUGACUUCUGGGCUCUCCUGGACAAGGAGACAGGCAGAGCUGGACCAUAUUCUGGUUUCUCAGCAGGUCUAUUGGUGGGGAAGUGGGGGGGUGGGGGGUGGAGAGCAAAAAGUCAUAUUUAUUUUCAUUGUCAGGGAUACAGGUAGAGUGACAGAAGACGAAGCACACAGACCCCCCCAGACACACACACAGAAGCCUCACAUACUUUAUGAUCAGGCCGCACAGGUGGGGACAUGAGGAUUAAUUCAAGAGGCGUGAGGAAUUCCCAUUGUGGCACAGCAGUUAAGGAUCUGGCAUUGCUGCAGCUAUGGUAUAGGUCACAGCUAUGGCUUGGAUUUGUCUUUGGCCCAGGAACUUCUAUAUGCCAUGGGUGCCCCCCCAAAAUAAUAAUAAAUAGAGUUUCGAGACUGGAAUUGCAGAUCUCCUUAUAUGAAAGAAGCCUGGAAGAAAGCUUUUUGAGGGUUUCUUCUUCUUCCAUCUGCCCCCAGAGGGCAGCUCUCAGCUCUUGGCCUUGAAGCUGGAGGGGUCAGGGGAGUCUGUGCAAACUUUGGCCUUUCUGCCCUGGGAGGCGCCAGGCUUCCAAGGCUGCAGGUGGAUGGUAAGUAAAGGGAGGAAGACAAUUUUCUUUUUUUUCUUUUUUUUUUUUGUGGCGAGGAUCAAACCCAAAACCUAUUGGUUACUAGUCGUUUUCCCUGAGCCGCAACGGGAACUCCUGCUGGAUGAUUUUAAAGUGCCGCCAGCUGAGAAGUCCCUGGGGGUCGGGGCUGGGGGAGAGACGAAGCUGCCACUGGGCCGGAGGUACUGGGGGAUUUCAUCAGUAGGGAGCUAGGUUAUCACCUCCUUCCAAAACGUGAGCCUGCGUGGAUACACAGUGCCUUAUGGUCAAAAAGGCAUCAGCAAGUGUGGAGCAGACUGGCUGCUGGGAACCUGGACUGAUAUGUCAGUCUCAGCUUCUUCAGCAGAGGUGGGAUUGUCCUGAGGAGCUGAGGACCCACUGCUCUGUCGUCCACAGGACUCGAGUUUCACAGAAACUCAGCUGAAAGGGGACAUGGGAACAUAGCGACCAUCCUUUCUCACCCCAGGCUGUGCAGGUAAGGAUGUUAAUUUAGAUGGUCCCUGUGUGUGAGGGGACAUAUUGGCAGAAUCUGGGCCAAAUCCAGGGAACCUAGAGAUCUUUUCCUGCCAAGGAGUCAGGAGAGGCCCACAGACAGGCAGGGCUGGCCUGAAAUGAGUUUGCUGUAAUAAAAAUGUUGCAAGACCACAGGGGGAACAACCACCCAGAAAUUCAUGAAAGAACAGGUGGAUGUGAGGGCUGCACAUCCGAACUGAGUUCUCUGGAUAAUGCUUGGGUGUAAUAAGACGAAAAAAAAAAAUCUGAAAAUGAAAAGGUAUAAUGAGAUAUACACAACUGAAGGGAAUUGUCUUAAAUGGCUGAUUGUAAUGAGAUGUACAUAAAUUGUAAGGCUUGUAAUGAAAUGAAAAAAAAAUUUUGCCUGAUAAUACUGGGUGUAAUGUCUACACCUGAAAUAAGUCGUCUCAGUGCACUGAGUGUAAUGAGAUGCACAUAAUUUUAAAGAGUGUAAUGAGAUGAAAAAUAAAUCAAACCCUUGUCUUAAAAUGAAAGAGGUGCUAAGAUGCACACACCUGAAGGGCAUUGGCCUAAAUGGGUUUGGUUUAAUGAGAUGCGUUUAAUUUGCAAAGGGGCUAAAUGAGAUUGGCCCAGGGAGAAGCUGAGAAAUGUAAAAGUGUAAGGUACACUUGAAAGGGAUAUAAUCAAACCUGCCUGGUCUGUGGGAUGGAAAUAAGAGGCCACUGUAGAAAUUCGUGGAGUCGAAGCCAUCGGCACACUCUCUGCCAGGCCUCUCUGACCCUUGGCUGGGACGCUUGGCAAAGUUGAAUUAUCCUCUGUCCGCCAUACGAUGCCAGGCAUACAGUAGGCAUAUGUGGAUGCUCCCUGAAUGUGUAACUGGCUCAGGGGGUUGUAGUGUAUUUAACAAAAGGAGGUUAAAGGGAGGUUAAAACGAGGAACUUCUAAAAGGCAACUGAAAGCUGUUUUCUGAGAGCAAUGUUUCUCAAAGUCUUCAGGCAUCUUGUCUUGGAAUCUGGGAAAAAGUUGGUUGUGAGGCCUAAACUGCAUAUGUAACAAGAAACCCUUAGAGUUCCCGCUGUGGGUUAAGAAUCCAACUGCAGUGGCUAAAGUUGCUUCGGAGGGAGGUGAGGCUUCCAUUCCUGGCCUGGUGCAGUAGGUAAAAGGAUCAGGCGUAGGUGGCAGCUGCAGUUCAUAUUUACUCCCUGGCCUGGAAACUUCUGUGAUGCCAUAAAAAACAAAGCGAGGGGAGUUUCCCUCAUGGCUCAGGGGAAACGAAUUUGACUAGCAUCCAAGAGGACGCAGGUUCGAUCCCUGGCCUCACUCAAUGGGUUAAGGAUCCAGCAUUGCCAUGAGCUGUGGUGUGGGUCACAGACAAGGCUCGGAUCUGGUGUUGCUGUGGCUGUGGUUGGAAGCUGUAGCUACAAUUCGACCCCUAGCCUGGGAACCCUCAUGUGCCGAGGGUGUGGCCCUAAAAAGACCAAAAAAAAAAAAAGAAGAAGCAAGAGAGUUCCUGUUGUGGCUCAGCAGGUUACAAACCCAACUAGUAUCCAUGAGAAUGGGGGUUCAGUCCCUGGCCCUGCACAGUGGAUUAAGGAUCUGGCAUUCCUGUGAGCUGUGGUGUAGGUUGAAGAUAUGGCUGCAAGUGCCGCUCUAAAAAGCAAAAAACGAAAUCAAACCAAAAAGAAAAAAAAAACAAAAAAAAAAAA
rnacentral:lncRNA from 1 species